UCAGAUUGGUUAGUAUUGACUGGAUUGAAUUGGUAUUGAUCUUGAUCGAUCCCCAUUCUUGACUGAUGCGACCUAAUACACAAGUAAAGCCCAAGAGUGAAAACAUAAUAAAAAGUGUUUUUUUUUUUUAGUUGUUUGUAACAAUUACUUUAGCUUAGUUGGGGAAUUGUGAUCUGUAAAAAACUAAUUUUUUUUUAUUUUUUAUUAAAAUAAGGGUAAGUCUACCGAAGAGAAUGCGAUCUAGGCCAAUCCGGACCGUUAUUGGAUUUUUUUUUUCAUAAAAAUUGAGUGGAGCAAUUUUUUUUAGUUUUUAUUAGAACAUGAAAUUAUCUUUUUAUUUCUCCCAAACCUAUCAUCUCUUGGACUUCUUCUUGGGUAUUUUAGGUAACUAAAAAUGGUUACAUCACUUUUCUAAACUACAUAAACGUGAUGAUAUAUCCCAUAAAGAUGUUACAGAUUGACGACACAACACGGGAGAAAUCCAGUGCAUGGGGUUCUAAGGUUCGAUACAAGAAUUGACGUUGGAGAAACUGUUUAUCAGUCCUUCCAUUUUGAAUUUAAAUGUCUCUUAUUCAAUUCCAGUAUCUUCCAUUACUAAGAAUCACCUAUAUAUGUUUACCACCGGAGAGAGCUAGAUUUACUAGUACACCCCUCUUAUGUUAGCCAGCAAGAGAAGGGCAUGCAUAUAUGAGCUUCUUGAUGUGGAGCUUGAUGUGAAAUUGGUAAUAGAAGGCGAGAGUCUGCACUAUCACCUGCAGAUUUCACAACCACCAGGUCUAGUCUGGAUUUUUUCUUGUGAGGCCAGGUCUGAAUUUUGAAGUGAACUAGAUGAAUUUCAAAAGAGGAAGCUUCUCUACAGAUAUCUUCCCACUGCCCUGCCGAAGGUUUAGCAAAUCAUGCAGCGGUAACAAAGACCUCAAUGACUUGGAUGAAUCCUCCUUGUUUUUCUUUGAAGAAUCUAAGUUGGGAUGCUCAAGACCGUCCGAGAUUUAGAUUCAACUGAUUUAUUUUUUAUUUUCUCUGCUAGUUGAUUUAGAUUAUUAGUUUGCUGAUGGUCAUACCGAAGGUGGACUGCAAUAUAAAUUUCUUUUCUUCUAUGGUAUCAUUAUGUACUGUAUUCAUUCUUUUCUAAUAAUAUUCUUUGCUGAUCUUUAGCAAAAA